UAAUACAUGCAAGUCGAGCGCAGGAAGUUAUCUGAUCCUCUUUUAGAGGUGACGAUAAUGGAAUGAGCGGCGGACGGGUGAGUAACACGUAGGCAACCUGCCUGUAAGACUGGGAUAACUCGUGGAAACGCGAGCUAAUACCGGAUAACACUUUUCAUCUCCUGAUGAUAAGUUGAAAGGCGGCUUUUGCUGUCACUUACAGAUGGGCCUGCGGCGCAUUAGCUAGUUGGUAAGGUAAUGGCUUACCAAGGCGACGAUGCGUAGCCGACCUGAGAGGGUGAUCGGCCACACUGGGACUGAGACACGGCCCAGACUCCUACGGGAGGCAGCAGUAGGGAAUCUUCCGCAAUGGACGAAAGUCUGACGGAGCAACGCCGCGUGAGUGAUGAAGGUUUUCGGAUCGUAAAACUCUGUUGUUAGGGAAGAACAAGUGCCAUAGUAACUGAUGGCACCUUGACGGUACCUAACCAGAAAGCCACGGCUAACUACGUGCCAGCAGCCGCGGUAAUACGUAGGUGGCAAGCGUUGUCCGGAAUUAUUGGGCGUAAAGCGCUCGCAGGCGGUUCUUUAAGUCUGAUGUGAAAUCUUACGGCUCAACCGUAAACGUGCAUUGGAAACUGGGGAACUUGAGUGCAGAAGAGGAGAGUGGAAUUCCACGUGUAGCGGUGAAAUGCGUAGAGAUGUGGAGGAACACCAGUGGCGAAGGCGACUCUCUGGUCUGUAACUGACGCUGAGGAGCGAAAGCGUGGGGAGCGAACAGGAUUAGAUACCCUGGUAGUCCACGCCGUAAACGAUGAGUGCUAGGUGUUAGGGGGUUUCCGCCCCUUAGUGCUGAAGUUAACGCAUUAAGCACUCCGCCUGGGGAGUACGGCCGCAAGGCUGAAACUCAAA
rnacentral:rRNA from 1 species